AAUGAACGUUGGCGGCGUGGAUUAGGCAUGCAAGUCGAGCGAGAACCCAGCAAUGGGGGACAGCGGCGCAAGGGACAGUAAUGUGUAGAUCAUCUGCCCUCAGGCCCGGGAUAGCUGCGGGAAACUGCAGGUAAUACCGGAUAACAUCUCCGGAUCAAAGGUGUGAUUCCGCCUGAGGAUGAGUCUACAUCCUAUUAGCUAGAUGGCAGGGUAACGGCCUACCAAGGCGAUGAUGGGUAGCGGGUGUGAGAGCACGACCCGCGUCAUUGGGACUGAGACACUGCCCAGACACCUACGGGUGGCUGCAGUCGAGAAUCUUCGGCAAUGGGCGCAAGCCUGACCGAGCGACGCCGCGUGCGGGAUGAAGGCCUUCGGGUUGUAAACCGCUGUCAGAGGGGAUGAAAUACAGGUGAGUUCUCCCAUCUGUUUGACAUAGCCUCAGAGGAAGGACGGGCUAAGUUCGUGCCAGCCGCCGCCGUAAGAC
rnacentral:rRNA from 1 species